UAAGGCUGGAAUGAAGAGGAGGAGGUUGUAUCAGCUCUCAAGGGUUAUGCUCCACCUCAUCUCACGGAGGAUACAGAUACUGGAUUAAAGGGAGUGUUCUUGUGUCCAACCUUGAUGAAUAAAAUAUACCUGGAGGGAGAGAAAAGUGCCUCAAUUGAUUUGAAUGGGAAGCUUAUGGAUCAAUUGGUCUCAGUAGGGCUGUGUACAGAGUAAG